rnacentral:tRNA from 2 species
AGGGGCGUAGCUUAGUGGUAAAGCUACGGUUUCCAAAACCGUCGAUGGGGGUUCGAUUCCCUCCGCCCCUGCCA